GAUGAAGAACGUAGCGAAAUGCGAUAAGUAAUGUGAAUUGCAGAAUUCAGUGAAUCAUCGAAUCUUUGAACGCACAUUGCGCCCGCCAGUAUUCUGGCGGGCAUGCCUGUUCGAGCGUCAUUUCAACCCUCAAGCCCCAGCGGCCUGGUGUUGGGGACCGGCGACCUCGCCCGAGCCCGCCCUCCGGGGCGCGUGCCCGGUGCGUCCGCCGCCCCCGAAAUGAAUUGGCGGCCUCGUCGCGGCCUCCUCUGCGUAGUAGCACAACCGCGCAAGCGGGAGCGCGACGCGGCCACUGCCGUAAAACGCCCAACUUUUUUAGAGUUGACCUCGGAUCAGGUAGGAAUACCCGCUGAACUUAAGCAUAUCAAUAAGCGGAGGA
rnacentral:misc_RNA from 1 species